rnacentral:rRNA from 1 species
AGACGUCUACAUUAGAUACCCGCGUAGUCCCAGCCGUAAACUAUGCGCGUUGGGUGUAUCGGUGACCACGAGUUACCGAGGUGCCGAAGGGAAACCGUGAAACGUGCCGCCUGGGAAGUACGGUCGCAAGGCUGAAACUUAAAGGAAUUGGCGGGGGAGCACCACAACAGGUGGAGCCUGCGGUUUAAUUGGACUCAACGCCGGGAAGCUCACCGGAUAGGACAGCAGAAUGAUUGCCGGGCUGAAGACCCUGCAUGACUAGCUG